UAUGAAAUCCAUAAUACAACUCCACCCAGAACUGGUGUCACAAUAUCACAGACUGUCUACGAAUACUACAAAGAGUGGUCUGAACAAGAAAAUACAAAUCUAUCUCAUAAAUAGAUAAAACAGGAGGAAAUAUGAUAGAAGGGGAUGCAAAGGCCUACAGAUGCCUGCAGGACUACCUCGGGUCUCCACUGGACUGAAGGCAGCAACCUCGAACUACGGUCCGUAGGGUCCAGUACCGAGAUCUGCACAAAAGAGUGCAGAGUGUAGUAUUAGUAUAACCGACCCCAUGUACUGGUAAGUGUCGAGCUUAACCUCGGCGAAGUAUUGACGAGGCUAGGACGCAACAACCAUAUGAACCUGUGCAAUUUAAUCAUAUACGAGAGGCAAUAAUAACAAUAAUUAAAUAGAACAAGAAGGGGAAAGGGGAAAGGGGAAACAUGCUGAGAGGGAUAUCAGGUUAUGACAAUAAUAACGUAAAGCGACAAAGUAAAUAUCAAACUUGAAGCAACGGAAAUAAUAACACAGUAAUAAGUGCAUGACAUCACCCUUCGUGCUUUUACUCUUGUCCUCACCAUAGAAUCAACAGAAACGGCACGACAUCACCCUUCGUACUUUUACUCUCUCAUAAUCAUGGCACGACAUCAUCCUUCGUGCUUUUAAUUUCAUUAAUAUGGCACGACAUCACCCUUCGUGCAUUAACACUCACAAUAUCGGCAUGGCACCACCCUUCGUGCAUUAACACUUACUCACAAUCUCAUGCACAUCAUCACCCUUCAUGCUUUACACUUUUUCUCAACCAAACAAAUGAAAUGAUAACAUCCCGGCAAGUGAAUCAACAAUAUAAACAAUAAUAGAAAUAAUACUGUCCCAGCAAGGAAGUCAAUAAUAGAAACAAAUCAUCCCGACAAGGGAAUCAUCUAUAACCAAUUUAGUUUCAACAGUUACUUCACAAAAUAAACCUCAAUUUGAGCCAAUACUCGAAAAUGGUCAAUUACCAAGAAUUAUCUCAAGCUAAUGUUGUUCCACAGUGCUAAUCAUCCAUUUAAGCUUGAACAACAUAUAAUAAAAUCACAACAAUCUUAACAUAAGACUCACGGGCAUGCUUGACACUAACUUAUAAAUACUAGUCACCUCACCUAUACGUCGUACUCGAAACUAACACAUAGCAAAUAAGACACAACGCCUAUUCCCUCAAGCUAAUGUUAGACCAAAUACUUACCUCGGAUUCCACGGCCAAACUCAAGCCUCAAAUACCGCUUUCCCUUUAGAUUCCACUUCCAAUUCACUUGUAUCUAGCCAAUAUUAACUUAUUAAUAUUAAUUGAAGCCAAAGAAAUCAAUUCAAAUGAAGAAUUACAGAUUUCCCAACAUUCUUCCAAAAAGUCAAAACCCGACCCCGCUCGCUUGGUCAAAACUCGAGGUUCGAACCAAAACUCGUUCACCCAUUCACACACGAGCCCAAAUAUGCAAUUAGUUUCGAAAUUCGAUCCCAAAUCGAGGUCUAAAUCCCCCAAAUUUGUAAAAUCCCAAUUCUAUUAAAAUCCUUAAUUUCUACCCUUAAAGAACAAGAUUUAGGCCUAGAAAUCUAAUGAGUGUUGAUGGAAAAUGAAAGAAAUGAGUUAAAGAACACAUACCUAUGACUGGGUGUUGAAAUUUCUCUUCAAAAAUCGCCCUAGGUCGGAUUCUAUGGAAGGAGAUAUGAAAUUAUGGCUUAUUCCCAUUUUGAUUCUGUUUUAAAAAGUCUGGGCAGGCCUUUUUCGCGUUCGCAAAGAGCUACCUUGCUCAGGCUUACGCGAGUUCCUCCACGCGUUCGCGAAGGGUAUGCCCCCUGGCCUUCACGUUCGCAGACCAUUGUACGUGUUCGCGUAGAAGAAAUGACUGAUUCCCAGCCCACCUCCAUUUUACACUACGCAUUCUCGUGACACCGGUCACGUUCGCGAUAAGCAGCCCCCCAAUGCUUCGCAUUCGCGAUCAUGGCUACGCGUUCGCGAUGAACAAAACCCAGCUUCAGCCCUAAGUACACUUCGCGGUCGCGGGAGUGGCUUCGCGACCCGAAGCAUAAAAUGCCUGCACACCAGAAGCAGCAAAAACACCCCGAAACCUAUCCGAAACUCACCUGAGCCCUUGGGGCUCCAAACCAAUCAUGCACACAAGUAUAAAAAUAUCAUACGUACUUACUCGUGCGAUUAAAUCGCCAAAGUAACACCUAGAACUACAAGUUUAGCAUCAAAAUCAAAGAAAAAUCUCAAGAACUUUUAAAGUUUCCAUUUCACAAUCGAGAGUCCGAUUCACGUCAUAUGAAUUUCGUUUAUUACCAAAUUUUACAGGCACAACUUAAAUACCAUAAUAAACUUGUAUCGGGCUUCGGAACCAAAAUACGGGCCCGAUACCAUCAAAUUCAAACAUCUUUAAAUUUCCAAAAACUCUUAUAUUUUCAGUUAAAUAAUUUCUUUCAAAAAUUCAUUUCUCGGGCUAAGGACCUCGGAAUUCAAUUCCGAGCAUACGCCUAAGUCCCAUAUUUUCCUACGGACCCUCCGAGACUGUCGAAUCACAGGUUCGGGUCCGUUUACCUAAAAUAUUGACCGAAGUUAACUUAAAUUCAAUUUUAAAGGCAAAAUUAGCAUUUUCCUCAAAUUUUCACAUAAGGGCUUUCCGGAUAUACGCCCGGACUGUGCGCGCAAAUCGAGGUGAGACAAAAGAAAGUUUUUAUAGCCUCGAAACACAGAUUUGACUUUUAAAACAAGAGAUGACAUUUUGGGUCAUCACACAUAUGGAAAAAUUUCGAACUCCAGCAUAUUAUGCUGGAAUUUUUCCGAAUUUUUAAGAGUGUUUUUAUUCAGAUUUUAUGUUUACAUAAAAAAAUGGCUAAAUUUCGAUUUUGUUUGAAACUGUGACUAUUUUUUAGCUAUCGAUUAUAAAUUAAGCUAUUUCCGAUUAUUUUUUUCCCAUAGUAGCCAUAUGGGUGUCUUCAUGUCUCUUCCUCUAUGAUUUCCCUUUCUUAUCAGUUAUCACUAGGUGUUUCUUUUGUAAAAUGCAGCAUAUUAUAAUUACCCUAUAGACUGUAGUUCUGCCCAUAAAAAGCACAAUGAAAGCCAACUAAUCUUGCUUUUUCCCCUACUUUAAUCAGCUUUAGACAUGAUUAAUUAAGUUGGUCUUUAAAAAGAUUAAUCUUUUAAGGGAUGUAGCUUUCACUAGGCAUGAUUACAAACCCUAAAAGCAUUGCAAACAUUCGGGAAUCCAGCCAUCUCUAAGAAAACAAAACAUAGUGAAAAUUAAAAAAAGUCACUCUUCCCACCUUUCACCGAAAAGUAGCACCAAGUGUAGCAACAUAUCCUUGACUUUUUACCAGACAAGAAAAUUAAAAUCACUCCCUAAAUUGUCAGUAUUUCAACCCUUUUAUUCUUUUUUCUUUAGAAUUUUAUGCUCUGUACAAAAAUUAUAUAAAUUUUUACACAAUCAAAUUAAAUUAAUUUACAAGACUAUGGUAAUAAGAUUUGAGAGCUAACUCACUUGAGGAUCUUCAUGUCUUCCGCAGUUAAGGUGGAGAGUUCAAACUUCAUCAAUAGACCACAACAUUCCUUUCCUCUUUUCCUUGUCCCCCUCCUUAUGAAAAAAAAUUAAAAAGAAAACCUACAACAACAAGUAAUUUUUCAUAACAAGCCUA
rnacentral:lncRNA from 1 species